CCGUGUACUGUUUCAUUGUUUUUCAUCUGAAUCAACCCCGUCCUUUUCAAUUGAAUAUGUUCAAUUCUGAUUGGCCUGUACACUGAAAAUCAUUGAAAAUGCUCGGAAUCAAACCCAUCGCGGAAUAACAGGGUCUUGGAUUUUUCUGGGACAAUCGGUUACUGUAAAUUUUGUGUGAACCCCAUACAUCCCCCAAUUCUCAGAAGGAGAAGACUAUUGAUUGCUUUCUUUCUUUUAUACCUGCUAUUUUGACUGAAUCUAGUUGAUUUGAAUAUUAUUCAAUUCAUUAAUUUCACUGUGUUAAUUCUGAAUUACUGACCGCCGGGAGAGUUUAAUUGUUUAAUUUUUGUUUACCUCAUUUUGAACUUGGUCACCCAUACAGCAUAUGUAUGUCCAUUGAACGUCCAUUGGACGUACAAAAUGGAAAUGACGGACAUCCAUUGUACGUCCAGUUAUGUACAAUGAUAGUUCCAGAUAAUGUCCGAACCUCACUGGAUUUAGCAUCCUAUGGUCGUCCAUACAGGAUAUACAAUGGACGUACAUACAGGAUGUUCAGUGGACGUACAUACAGUUUUCAAGGAGGCAUCGUCGUCCACAGGGAACUGGAAUCUCGUAAAUAUUGAAUCCAUCGUAGUUGUUUGAUCCCCCUUGGCAGCUAAAGAAGAUUUGAUCUCUUCCCGAUCCGUCUUCUUGUCGGCCAUGAUAUUUGCCAAAAACACAAACUGUUUAAUUAUAUUUUUUCAGUUCAUCCAUCCUCUAUUUAUAAAAAAUUUCACAAUUGAAAUUCAUUGAAAACUUCAAACUUCGAAUACUCUUACCCAUUUGUAUAUUGUUUUUAUGUAUUGGGCAACAGCAACAAGUGCCCAGUGGGGAAUCUGCUAUACGAGCAGUUUCUGAAGCAGCAUUAGCAUUUCCUUCGAAAUAAAAGAUAAUUAUUAUUGUCUCCAAAAAUUUUUCAUUUGCAAUAAUUUAUUCCACAUGCAGAAAAUAUUUAUAUAGGCAAGUACUGUAAUUUUUUUUAAUCUAUCGAGUAUGCAGCAUAUUUCAUAAAGCAAUUCAUGUUAUGUUACUUCCAACCCAGUGUCAUUUGAAUUGAAAUGAGAGACGCUCGAGUCAAUCAAAAUGUAACGCCUUUUUUCUUGGGGUACUCGAGCGCCAGCUAUUCUUUGAAGGAAAAAUAGCAAACCUACCCUGGUAGCUACGAGCCGAAGACAAAGUUCCUUGGUGUCUGGGGUAUAAGCGACAACCAGUGAAAGCCAAAAUCAGCGUAUACAAAUUUUAUUUGUCGACUCGUAAAAGGAAACACAAAAGGCACUUCACAAAAUCCGUACCACGGAAUCAGAUAUAAGCAACAAUUAAGUGGUAAGAUUACUGCGUGAAACGGACGGAAUUAGACAGGUCAACGUGGUACGGUGUUUCCGGACAUGUUCGCCAGCCAUAACCUGUCUUAGGUUCUGGCUGGCACUUACACGGACAAGUAUCAGACCUCAGCCAGGUUAGGGGAUGAAGUGAGACGGCAUAGACUUACGACGGUUCACCUUUAGGUGCGUUCUGCACCCCCUGAGUAUCCACGCCAGCGGGGUAUUGUACUAGCAGCAGAGGUGAAGAUUGGAAAGUAAGGAAGAGUCGCCACCCCAAAGUGUGUUCGGUAGCCCCUGAGUAGCCACGCCAGCGGGGUAUCCUAUUAAAAGUAGGGCUGGAGCUCAAACUGUGGUUUGGGACGGUUGCAGUUGGACGCUGAGGUUUCAAGACAAUAAUAACUGUGAGUGUUGUCUUACCUACGGUUUCUGGACGGGCACUUGCACUCGGAAAGGAAAAUAAUCAAAUGAAAGUAAAGAAAAAUUCUAUCCGGAAUAGCCAAAAAUAAAGGAAACUUAACGGCAGAACAAUAAGUCGCGAAGGCAUACGGCCGUUAAUCAUAAGUGAGUGACCUGCAAGGGAACACCUGAUUUUAUACCCACAAGGGGGAGUGCGGACAUCAGAUGUGCCCCGGCUGUCGAAAAUCGGUAAAAUUUGCGUCGAUGAAGACGUCUUAAUUUCGACUUAUCUAGACUGGCGAAAAAAACCCGGUUAUCUUCCAGUUCAGGAUGUUUUGUACGGUGCGACAUCGUAUUCGUAUAGAACUGAAAAACGGAAUGAAAACGAUGCGGAAAGUUUAAAAUUCCGAACGAUGUCGGACUCCUAAAUUGGAAACUGAAAAUAUUCCUCUCAAAAUUAAUUCGAAAUAAAAUCACUCAAAAUGAAACAAAAAGAUUAUUCUUAAAUGAGGGAGCAUUUUGCUAGAAAAAUAUAUCCUCAUUACAGAAGGUACAUCAGAAAUAUCAUCUUGACAAAACAGAGAUCAUUUAAAUCAAAGCAAGUGAGUUUGCAACCUUAUGAUUAAAAAAAGAACCACACCCUCGUUGAUGAAUCCAUUCAUCAUUGAAUUAAUAUUAUAGUAUUUAUAGUCGACCAAAUCAUAAAACUAACACUUACUGUUGAUGGUUAUGUCCCUGCAGUUUCCGUGACCCACCUGGUCGGAGGUUCAGGGAAGGCCUUUCCUUUGCGAAUGGAAAUAAGCUCAUCAUCAUCUGGUUGAGGUCGCUGGUAUAUUCUGCGACAUUCAACUUCUUUUUCUGGUUUCUAAAUAAUUAUCCGAAAUCAAACUUAUAAUAGGUUUGUUCGUAGAGUAGUCCCAAACUGUCCCGAACUGUACAGAGCAUGCGCAAUUCAAUAUUUGCGUUCGUAGUGUCGUAAUUUCUGAUUCAGAACUGACAGUCGGCUGUUCGCAGAGGCCAUUCUGUAUCAAAUCACAACCGUUUGAAAAAUUCACGACUCAAGCUGUGAACUAAAAAUCCUGAACUGUCGAGCAUGUGCAGAGGAUCAGAAUCAGAACAGUUUCGAAAGUUAACAGGUGAAGUCAUUUGAUUUUGGAUAUAUUCGGACUUAAUUGCUUUGUUGAAUAUAAGGUAUGUAGAUUUUCUUCAAGAGAUAAGUUUUUUAGAUUAAAGUGAAUUUUAUUUUCAAGAAUGUCUAGCUCAAGUGACCACGGCAGUGAUUUUAACGAGAAUGUGUACUCAUCAAGUAGUGAUGAAGAGAUUUUUGUCUUACUAACUCAAGGGGAACCCAGUCGCAGAAAUGAAAAUUAUAUUCAGACAGUGCGAUCUUACAGUGAUAUAGAGUUUCUGAAACAUUUCAGAGUAUCACGUGGAGUGUUGAAUGAUAUUGUGGAAAGGUUUGAACAUUCUGAGUACUAUUCGUACCAGGUGGGAGAGUUUGGCAAGAUAACGGCUUUUGAGUAUGUCGUGGUAUUUUUGUGGUUUUCUGGCCAUGAGAGUGCCUCCUUCAGGGAUGUGGCGGAUAGGUUUGACAUUUCUUUAAGUACCCUGAGGAAAAUCAUAAAUAAAAUGAUUUUUUUUUUAUCAAACCUUUCGGCUGAAGUUAUAAAGUGGCCAAACAGUCAAGAAAAAAAUUAAAUUGAGGCCUAUUAUCGCAGCAGAGGUUUCCCAGGGGUGAUUGGUGCCAUCGAUGGUUCUCAUAUUAGGAUUGAUAAGCCAUCCGUAGAUCCAGAUUCAUACCUGAAUAGGAGACAUUUCUAUUCUGUACAGAUGCAAAUUGUUUGUGAUCAUGAAAGGAGGGUCAGAGAUGUUUUUAUAGGCUUUCCUGGUUCUGUGCACGAUAGUAGAGUUUAUCGGGCUUCACCAUUGAACGAUUCAUUGGUUCAGAAGUGUGGAGAAUUUUUUAUAUUGGCUGAUGGAUAUCCAUGUCUUAGGAAUAUGCUGACACCAUAUAAAGAUAGAGGCAAUCUACAACCAUACCAGAUUAACUACAACAUAAAAUUGUGUAGAAACCGUUAUGUUAUAGAACAUUGCUUUGGUAUGAUGAAGCAGAAGUUUCGGCAACUCUAUCACCUGAAACUCAGGAAAAUAAAUGAAAUUGUUCAUUUCAUCAGAGCAUGUUGUGUAUUGCACAAUUUAGCACUGGAUGACAAUUUUCCCACUGAUGAAAAUUUUCUUCGGGAAGAUAUUGAAACAAGUAUAUUUGAAGAUGAAGGGACAGGAAAUGACGUGGAGGGCAGAAAUGGCCUGGAAUUUAGGAAUCAGGUGGCUCGAAACCUUCCAAUGUAAAUAUAUUUGUCCAAUAUUUUUUUACUAUUCCCAACUAUUUAUUUAAGAAUAAAUCAAUGAAAUAAAAAAGUGUUUUAUUCUAAUAAACUGUAUAAAAUGAUAAAUACAUAAACUUUAUGAAAACUCAAAAAUAUAUUAUGAUACAUAAAAUCUAAGGCUGAAUCAAGGACUUCGGUCGAUGGCCAUUCAAGAACAGUUAUGAUUAUUAAUACAUGAAAUGAAAUAAAU